CCUACGGGCGGCAGCAGUGAGGAAUAUUGGUCAAUGGGCGGAAGCCUGAACCAGCCAAGUCGCGUGAGGGAUUAAGGCCCUACGGGUUGUAAACCUCUUUUGCCGGGGAGCAACGGGCGCCACGUGUGGCGUCACUGAGAGUACCCGGAGAAAAAGCAUCGGCUAACUCCGUGCCAGCAGCCGCGGUAAUACGGAGGAUGCGAGCGUUAUCCGGAUUCAUUGGGUUUAAAGGGUGCGUAGGCGGAUCGUUAAGUCAGUGGUCAAAUUGAGGGGCUCAACCCCUUCCCGCCAUUGAAACUGGCGUUCUGGAGUGGAAGAGAAGUAUGCGGAAUGCGUGGUGUAGCGGUGAAAUGCAUAGAUAUCACGCAGAACCCCGAUUGCGAAGGCAGCAUGCCGGCUUCCGACUGACGCUGAGGCACGAAAGCGUGGGGAUCGAACAGGAUUAGAUACCCUAGUAGUC
rnacentral:rRNA from 1 species